AGUGAACGCUGGCGGCGUGCCUAAUACAUGCAAGUCGAACGGAGUGGCGCACGGGUGAGUAAUGUAUAGCUAAUCUGCCCUACACUAGAGGACAACAGUUGGAAACGACUGCUAAUACUCUAUAGUGUAGGAUGAGGCUAUAUUGUAUCAGCUAGUUGGUGAGGGAAUGGCUCACCAAGGCUAUGACGCAUAACUGGUCUGAGAGGAUGGUCAGUAACACUGGAACGGAGGCACGGUUCGGGAUCCUAGGGGAAGCAGCAGGAGGUAAUAUUGCUCAAUGGGGGAAACUCUGAAGCGGCAACGCCGCGUGGAGGAUGACACUUUGCGGAGCGUAAACUCCUUUUGUUAGGGAAGCGGUACCUACCGAAUAAGCACCGGCUAACUCCGUGCCAGCAGCCGCGGUAAUAC
rnacentral:rRNA from 1 species